rnacentral:rRNA from 1 species
AGAAUGAACGCUGGCGGCGUGCUUAACACAUGCAAGUCGAACGGAAUCCAAGGAGCUUGCUCUGGAAGAUUUAGUGGCGAACGGGUGAGUAUCACGUGAGCAACCUGCCCCGAAGACUGGGAUAACACCGGGAAACCGGUGCUAAUACCGGAUGUCUUUCAAUGAUCGCAUGAUCGAUGAAAGAAAUGUUUUUUCGCUUUGGGAGGGCUCGCGGUCCAUCAGCUUGUUGGCGGGGUAACGGCCCACCAAGGCAACGACGGAUAGCUGGUCUGAGAGGACGAUCAGCCACACUGGAACUGAGACACGGUCCAGACUCCUACGGGAGGCAGCAGUGGGGAAUCUUGCGCAAUGGACGAAAGUCUGACGCAGCAACGCCGCGUGAGGGACGAAGGGUUUUCUGAAUUGUAAACCUCUUUCGACAGGAACGAUUGUGACGGUACCUGUAGAAGAAGCACCGGCCAACUAUGUGCCAGCAGCCGCGGUAA